rnacentral:ncRNA from 1 species
UGAGGUUCGGCUGCGCUAGCACGAAGCGGGUAGCUGAUACCAAGACGGUAUAAUAAAAAAGGCCGUUAUACGGCCUUUUUGGUAUCACGUACCGGAAUGAAACGGUUACCCGUUGCCAUGAACCGGUUUCGGUAAU